CUCUCAAGUUAACGACUCCCAGCUGUAAGUGCAUCUUAGCUUUAUGUUCCAUCAAAAGUUUUAUGUUCUAUUUUAAGUGUUGGUCAUUUAUGCAAAUCUAAAGCAUGUUUAGCUAGACAACAAAUUGCAAUUUGGUCAAAUUUUGGCAGAUGCUUUUGGGACAGAAGACUUUAUUGUCUGAACUUAUUAAAAAUAAAUGGUUGACGCACGCAACCUUACUCCUAUUUUGCAAAGAGUUCAUUUUGGAAAGAGUUUGUUUUCGUGGCUCAAAUCUGUAACCUCCGGGACACAAAUGGGAUAAAAUAUUGGAAAAGUAAUUUAUGUAGUUGUAUAACUAAUUCAGGAUUAGUGGUUAAUUUAAUUGAGUUUUAUGAAAACAAUCUGAUCAAAGGGAAAAAGGAAAUAUUUAGAACAUGGGAGUUCUUUUUCUUUUUUUAUUGGAUUUCCACUGUCUUUUCACUGCUGCAUCAGUUUGCCCUGAUUAGCCUCUGCCUUGGGGUAGCGGCUAUCAGAUUCUUGGUUGCAUGGUUACAUUUUCCACCACUGGAGAAGGCAUUGGUUACUGUUGCAUUAAUAUUUUUACCUACUAGUUGCUUCUCUCAUGUAAUGGUUGCUUCGACUAUUCAUUAAUGAUAACUGUUUAAAAGUUGUGAGCUGUGUAUUGAAUAAGUUUGGUACUGAAUGUUGAUAUCAUUACAAUCUUGUAUAGCUUGAAAUGCUUUGUGGAUUCUCAAUAACAGAGCUCGUAAUUUUCUCAAACGUGUCUAUUUUCUAGUCGGCAGGCAUUUACUCUGGUUGAUUUUGUGUUUCUUUAUGUGAAUUAUUCCAUGUUUUCUUCACUGAUUUUUUUCAUAUUUUCUGUUGCAUAGAGAGGUAGAAGCACUAAAUUAACUUUGGCUUGUUGAUUUGUGACAGUUGGUGAUCUGAACCAUCUAAUCU
rnacentral:misc_RNA from 1 species